AGAAAAGGGAGAUGUUCUACCUUGUCUUUCAGUUCCUUUUGAAGUUAAACAUAAAUUAAAAGAACACUUGAAUCAAGUUAGUGGUAGUAGAAAAUGAGGAACUAAUCAAAUUCGAAGGAAAGAAGAUUUAGAUGAGGAAAAUGUUACACAACUUGAAGGAAAUGUGAAUCCACCAAUACCAACUAAAGCCAAGGGUAAGACAAACACUUUGGGCUUUGCUCCAAGAACUACGGUAGGAGCUAAACCCUCAAUCAGAAUGGGC
rnacentral:lncRNA from 1 species